rnacentral:tRNA from 1 species
GGGGUCGUAGCUCAGUGGUAGAGCGCCUGCUUUGCAAGCAGGAUGCCGCGGGUUCGAGUCCCGCCGGCUCCACCA